UUUUUCCACCGGAGCUUGCUCCACCGGAAAAAGAGGAGUGGCGAACGGGUGAGUAACACGUGGGUAACCUGCCCAUCAGAAGGGGAUAACACUUGGAAACAGGUGCUAAUACCGUAUAACAAUCGAAACCGCAUGGUUUUGAUUUGAAAGGCGCUUUCGGGUGUCGCUGAUGGAUGGACCCGCGGUGCAUGAGCUAGUUGGUGAGGUAACGGCUCACCAAGAGCACGAUGCAUAGCCGACCUGAGAGGGUGAUCGGCCACAUUGGGACUGAGACACGGCCCAAACUCCUACGGGAGGCAGCAGUAGGGAAUCUUCGGCAAUGGACGAAAGUCUGACCGAGCAACGCCGCGUGAGUGAAGAAGGUUUUCGGAUCGUAAAACUCUGUUGUUAGAGAAGAACAAGGAUGAGAGUAACUGUUCAUCCCUUGACGGUAUCUAACCAGAAAGCCACGGCUAACUACGUGCCAGCAGCCGCGUAAUACGUAGGUGGCAAGCGUUGUCCGGAUUUAUUGGCGUAAAGCGAGCGCAGCCGUUUCUUAAGUCUGAUGUGAAAGCCCCGGCUCACCGGGAGGUCAUUGAAACUGGGAGACUUGAGUGCAGAGAGGAGAGUGAAUUCCAUGUGUAGCGUGAAAUGCGUAGAUAUAUGGAGGACACAGUGCGAGGCGGCUCUCUGUCUGUACUGACGCUGAGCUCGAAGCGUGGGGAGCAA
rnacentral:rRNA from 1 species